rnacentral:rRNA from 1 species
AUGAACGCUAGCUACAGGCUUAACACAUGCAAGUCGAGGGGCAGCAUGGUCUUAGCUUGCUAAGGCCGAUGGCGACCGGCGCACGGGUGAGUAACACGUAUCCAACCUGCCGUCUACUCUUGGACAGCCUUCUGAAAGGAAGAUUAAUACAAGAUGGCAUCAUGAGUCCGCAUGUUCACAUGAUUAAAGGUAUUCCGGUAGACGAUGGGGAUGCGUUCCAUUAGAUAGUAGGCGGGGUAACGGCCCACCUAGUCUUCGAUGGGUAGGGGUUCUGAGAGGAAGGUCCCCCACAUUGGAACUGAGACACGGUCCAAACUCCUACGGGAGGCAGCAGUGAGGAAUAUUGGUCAAUGGGCGAGAGCCUGAACCAGCCAAGUAGCGUGAAGGAUGACUGCCCUAUGGGUUGUAAACUUCUUUUAUAAAGGAAUAAAGUCGGGUAUGGAUGCCCGUUUGCAUGUACUUUAUGAAUAAGGAUCGGCUAACUCCGUGCCAGCAGCCGCGGUAAUACGGAGGAUCCGAGCGUUAUCCGGAUUUAUUGGGUUUAAAGGGAGCGUAGAUGGAUGUUUAAGUCAGUUGUGAAAGUUUGCGGCUCAACCGUAAAAUUGCAGUUGAUACUGGAUAUCUUGAGUGCAGUUGAGGCAGGCGGAAUUCGUGGUGUAGCGGUGAAAUGCUUAGAUAUCACGAAGAACUCCGAUUGCGAAGGCAGCCUGCUAAGCUGCAACUGACAUUGAGGCUCGAAAGUGUGGGUAUCAAACAGGAUUAGAUACCCUGGUAGUCCACACGGUAAACGAUGAAUACUCGCUGUUUGCGAUAUACAGCAAGCGGCCAAGCGAAAGCGUUAAGUAUUCCACCUGGGGAGUACGCCGGCAACGGUGAAACUCAAAGGAAUUGACGGGGGCCCGCACAAGCGGAGGAACAUGUGGUUUAAUUCGAUGAUACGCGAGGAACCUUACCCGGGCUUAAAUUGCAGAUGAAUUACGGUGAAAGCCGUAAGCCGCAAGGCAUCUGUGAAGGUGCUGCAUGGUUGUCGUCAGCUCGUGCCGUGAGGUGUCGGCUUAAGUGCCAUAACGAGCGCAACCCUUGUUGUCAGUUACUAACAGGUUCCGCUGAGGACUCUGACAAGACUGCCAUCGUAAGAUGUGAGGAAGGUGGGGAUGACGUCAAAUCAGCACGGCCCUUACGUCCGGGGCUACACACGUGUUACAAUGGGGGGUACAGAGGGCCGCUACCACGCGAGUGGAUGCCAAUCCCCAAAACCUCUCUCAGUUCGGACUGGAGUCUGCAACCCGACUCCACGAAGCUGGAUUCGCUAGUAAUCGCGCAUCAGCCACGGCGCGGUGAAUACGUUCCCGGGCCUUGUACACACCGCCCGUCAAGCCAUGGGAGCCGGGGGUACCUGAAGUGCGUAACCGCGAGGAGCGCCCUAGGGUAAAACUGGUGACUGGGGCU